CGGAAGGCCCUUCGGGGUACUCGAGUGGCGAACGGGUGAGUAACACUUGGGUGAUCUGCCCUGCACUUUGGGAUAAGCCUGGGAAACUGGGUCUAAUACCGAAUAUGACCAUGCACUUCCUGGUGUGUGGUGGAAAGCUUUUGCGGUGUGGGAUGGGCCCGCGGCCUAUCAGCUUGUUGGUGGGGUAAUGGCCUACCAAGGCGACGACGGGUAGCCGGCCUGAGAGGGUGACCGGCCACACUGGGACUGAGAUACGGCCCAGACUCCUACGGGAGGCCAGCAGUGGGGAAUAUUGCACAAUGGGCGCAAGCCUGAUGCAGCGACGCCGCGUGAGGGAUGACGGCCUUCGGGUUGUAAACCUCUUUCAGCACAGACGAAGCGCAAGUGACGGUAUGUGCAGAAGAAGGACCGGCCAACUACGUGCCAGCAGCCGCGGUUAAUACGUAGGGUCCGAGCGUUGUCCGGAAUUACUGGGCGUAAAGAGCUCGUAGGUGGUUUGUCGCGUUGUUCGUGAAAACUCACAGCUUAACUGUGGGCGUGCGGGCGAUACGGGCAGACUUGAGUACUGCAGGGGAGACUGGAAUUCCUGGUGUAGCGGUGGAAUGCGCAGAUAUCAGGAGGAACACCGGUGGCGAAGGCGGGUCUCUGGGCAGUAACUGACGCUGAGGAGCGAAAGCGUGGGGAGCGAACAGGAUUAGAUACCCUGGUAGUCCACGCCGUAAACGGUGGGUACUAGGUGUGGGUUUCCUUCCUUGGGAUCCGUGCCGUAGCUAACGCAUUAAGUACCCCGCCUGGGGAGUACGGCCGCAAGGCUAAAACUCAAAGAAAUUGACGGGGGCCCGCACAAGCGGCGGAGCAUGUGGAUUAAUUCGAUGCAACGCGAAGAACCUUACCUGGGUUUGACAUGCACAGGAACCUGGUAGAGAUAUCAGUUCCCUUGUGGCCUGUGUGCAGGUGGUGCAUGGCUGUCGUCAGCUCGUGUCGUGAGAUGUUGGGUUAAGUCCCGCAACGAGCGCAACCCUUGUCCUAUGUUGCCAGCGGGUUAUGCCGGGGACUCGUAGGAGACUGCCGGGGUCAACUCGGAGGAAGGUGGGGAUGACGUCAAGUCAUCAUGCCCCUUAUGUCCAGGGCUUCACACAUGCUACAAUGGCCGGUACAAAGGGCUGCGAUGCCGUGAGGUGGAGCGAAUCCUUGUAAAGCCGGUCUCAGUUCGGAUCGGGGUCUGCAACUCGACCCCGUGAAGUCGGAGUCGCUAGUAAUCGCAGAUCAGCAACGCUGCGGUGAAUACGUUCCCGGGCCUUGUACACACCGCCCGUCACGUCAUGAAAGUCGGUAACACCCGAAGCCGGUGGCCUAACCCCUGUGGAGGAGCCUAACCC
rnacentral:rRNA from 1 species